rnacentral:misc_RNA from 1 species
GCUCUACGCAUCCUUAUCUCGGAUUUUGGCCUACCGCGUUUGGUAACACACGGGAGACCAAUUUCCGUCCUCUAUCCUUAGAGGAUUGGGGACGACGAUUUGUGACACCCAGGCGGACGUGCCCUCGGCCGGAAGGCUUAAGGCGCAACUUGCGUUCAAAGACUCGAUGGUUCACGGGAUUCUGCAAUUCACACCAAGUAUCGCAUUUCGCUACGUUCUUCAUCGAUGCGAGAGCCGAGAUAUCCGUUGCCGAGAGUCGUUUUAGACUUUAAAUCGCAGCUCAGCAUCCCGCACACUCACCGUUUCCGAGGCGGCGGAAGCAGGCUGUUUAGUUGCAUGUUCCUUGACACUUUUCGUGCCGGGGUUUUGUGAAUUUCCGAAAGCUAAGCUCAUAGCCCRAUCAAGAUUAAAAAUCUUGAUAGAACCACUCGCCAAACCCCAGAAUCMGCGGGCACAGAAUCGGAUAASAAACCGGCCCGCUGAUAGUGAKGAKCAAUCGUUCCCGGGGCGWUCUGUUUUGGACAGGGAUCGAC